UACGUAGGGACCAAGCGUUGUUCGGAUUUACUGGGCGUAAAGGGCGCGUAGGCGGCAUGACAAGUCACUUGUGAAAUCUUCGGGCUUAACUCGGAACGGUCAAGUGAUACUGUCGGGCUAGAGUACGGAAGAGGCGAGUGGAAUUCCCGGUGUAGCGGUGAAAUGCGCAGAUAUCGGGAGGAACACCAAUUGCGAAGGCAGCUCGCUGGGACGUCACUGACGCUGAGACGCGAAAGCGUGGGGAGCAAACAGG
rnacentral:rRNA from 1 species